rnacentral:sRNA from 1 species
AGCAGCCGCGGUAAUUCCAGCUCCAAUAGCGUAUAUUAAAGUUGUUGCAGUUAAAAAGCUCGUAGUUGAACCUUAGGCCCGUGCGGGCGGUCCGUCCUCUGGGCGAGCACUGCCUCGUCGCGGGUCUCACCUUCUGGCGAGCGUGGAUGCCAUUCAUUUGGUGUCUGCGGGAACCAGGACCUUUACCUUGAAAAAUUAGAGUGCUCAAAGCGGGCUCUUACGCUUGAAUACAUUAGCAUGGAAUAAUGAAAUAGGACGACGGUUCUAUUUUGUUGGUUUCCGGGAUUGUCGUAAUGAUUAAUAGGGAUAGUUGGGGGCAUUCGUAUUCAAUUGUCAGAGGUGAAAUUCUUGGAUUUAUUGAAGACGGACUACUGCGAAAGCAUUUGCCAAGGAUGUUUUCAUUAAUCAAGAACGAAAGUUGGGGGAUCGAAGACGAUCAGAUACCGUCGUAGUCUCAACCAUAAACUAUGCCGACUGGGAAUCGGGCGAUGUUAUUUU